rnacentral:rRNA from 1 species
CCUACGGGAGGCAGCAGUGGGGGAUAUUGCACAAUGGGGGGAACCCUGAUGCAGCGACGCCGCGUGAGCGAUGACGUCUUUCUGUAUGGAAAGCUCUAUCAGCAGGGAAGAAAAUGACGGUACCUGACUAAGAAGCCCCGGCUAACUACGUGCCAGGAGCCGCGGUAAGACGUAGGGGGCAAGCGUUAUCCGGGUUUACUGGGUGUAAAGGGAGCGUAGGCGGCUGUGCAAGUCUGAAGUGAAAGGCAAGGGCUCAACCUUUGGACUGCUUUGGAAACUGUGCAGCUAGAGUGUCGGAGAGGCAAGUGGAAUGCCUGGUGUAGCGGUGAAAUGCGUAGAUAUUAGGAGGAACACCAGUGGCGAAGGCGGCUUGCUGGACGAUGACUGACGUUGAGGCUCGAAAGCGUGGGGAGCAAACAGGAUUAGAUACCCUGGUAGUC